rnacentral:rRNA from 1 species
AUACGGAGGAUCCGAGCGUUAUCCGGAUUUAUUGGGUUUAAAGGGUGCGCAGGCGGCCAUUUAAGUCAGCGGUUAAAUCGUGGGGCUCAACCCCAUUCUGCCGUUGAUACUGGGGGGCUUGAUUGCGGUCGAGGUUGGCGGAAUUCGUUGUGUAGCGGUGAAAUGCAUAGAUAUGACGAAGAACACCGAUUGCGUAGGCAGCUGACCAGACCGGAAAUGACGCUCAUGCACGAAAGUGCGGGGAUCGAACAGGAUUAGAUACCCUGGUAGUCCGCACAGUAAACGAUGAAUACUUGUUUUCGGCGAUAUAAUGUCGGAGGCAAAGCGAAAGCGAUAAGUAUUCCACCUGGGGAGUACGCCGGCAACGGUGAAACUCAAAUGAAUUGACGGGG